UACGUAGGGGGCAAGCGUUGUCCGGAUUUAUUGGGCGUAAAGAGCGUGUAGGCGGCCAGGUAGGUCAGCUGUGAAAACUCGAGGCUCAACCUCGAGACGCCGGUUGAAACCAUCUGGCUAGAGUCCGGAAGAGGAGAGUGGAAUUCCUGGUGUAGCGGUGAAAUGCGCAGAUAUCAGGAGGAACACCGGUGGCGAAGGCGGUUCUCUGGGCCUUACCUGACGCUGAGGAGCGAAAGCGUGGGGAGCGAACAGG
rnacentral:rRNA from 1 species